rnacentral:lncRNA from 1 species
AUGGUUGGUGUGACACUAUCAAUAACCGGGCCUACUGCAACUAUGACGGGGGAGACUGCUGCUCUUCCACACUCUCUUCCAAGAAGGUCAUUCCAUUUGCUGCUGAUUGUGACUUGGAUGAAUGCACCUGUCGAGACCCCAAGGCAGAAGAAAACCAGUAACUCUAGGAGCAGAGCCCACCUCCUCUGCCCCGGGGGCAGACUAAAAGAGAAGCUCCCGUAGCAGGAUGCAAAGGGUGAAUGAACAAGAUAGGUUCCAUGGUGGAAGGAGAGCCUAAAAGAGAGCCUUUAAGAAAUGCAAGAAAUGUUUGUAGGUGCCAAUUAAUGCAUUAAGUAGUCCAAGUAGGGAGGGAUUAGAGGCAAUUGUUUCUGUAAAAAGACACUUGGUUAGAAAUGGAAGGAGAAAUUGACAGACCCCUCCCCCCAUCUGUACUCUGCUCCAUCCUUCUCUCAACUCUCAAUCUCCUCCCCACUCUGCACGCUGUCAGUGGCUCAGCCCCACCCAACAUGUAAACCCAUAUCAAAAUAUUAGAAGAUAAGCUGCCAGGGACUCUGUCAAUACCCAUUUCAGAUGGACUGUCAUCUUUCAGGGCUCAUCUACUCCAGACUGGCCCUUUGCCUUUCUUUUGUGUGGUCUCUCUCAAAUAAGGAGGUUAGCAAUUUCUUUAUAAGUAUUUAAACAUAAUUAUAUAAAUAUAUUAUAUAUUAUAUUUUUUGCUGUUUACUAAGCUACAGAUUAUCCAUUGUUCCACAAAUGCUGCUGUGAAGUUCAUGUCCAGAGGGAUACUGAAGCUUCGAGGACAGAAAGAAAGGUUCUUUUGCCUUCUUCCCAUAGAUAGGGAUUGGCAGGUCGGAUGGGGAGAAGAGAGUCGAUGGAAUUCUGGAUGCUAGCCUGUCAGCUGAUCAUCAUUUUAUGACCUGGGAGCUGGGCCUACUGAAAGGAGAUAGACUUGGCAUGCUAAGAGCAAGAGGCAUGGAAAGUUACAUGGGAACCUAUUUGGCAGUAGUUCCAGGAGAAAUAGACAAUGGUUUCUAAGUAUCUACCAAAAGGAGCAUACAAACUCUUCUACGCUUCUCAGAACUCUCAGUUGGAGCUGGUGAAGACCAGGGUCUUUUCCACUUCUCCAUGUACUUAGUCCAAGUAUAGCUGCCAGCCAGCCAACCAACCAGCCAGCCAGCCAGCCAGCCAGCCAACCAGCCAGCCAAAAAGUUUGUAUGAGGGC